rnacentral:rRNA from 1 species
GAGCGGAUGACGGGAGCUUGCUCCUUGAUUCAGCGGCGGACGGGUGAGUAAUGCCUAGGAAUCUGCCUGGUAGUGGGGGACAACGUUUCGAAAGGAACGCUAAUACCGCAUACGUCCUACGGGAGAAAGCAGGGGACCUUUGGGCCUUGCGCUAUCAGAUGAGCCUAGGUCGGAUUAGCUAGUUGGUGGGGUAAUGGCUCACCAAGGCGACGAUCCGUAACUGGUCUGAGAGGAUGAUCAGUCACACUGGAACUGAGACACGGUCCAGACUCCUACGGGAGGCAGCAGUGGGGAAUAUUGGACAAUGGGCGAAAGCCUGAUCCAGCCAUGCCGCGUGUGUGAAGAAGGUCUUCGGAUUGUAAAGCACUUUAAGUUGGGAGGAAGGGCAGUAAGUUAAUACCUUGCUGCUUUGACGUUACCGACAGAAUAAGCACCGGCUAACUCUGUG